UACAGAGGUCCCAAGCGUUGUUCGGAUUUACUGGGCGUAAAGGGUGCGUAGGUGGUCGGGUAAGUCUCAUGUGAAAUCCCGCAGCUUAACUGCGGAACGGCAUGGGAUACUAUUCGGCUCGAGGAUUGGAGGGGGACUGGAAUUCCCGGUGUAGCAGUGAAAUGCGUAGAUAUCGGGAGGAACACCAGUGGCGAAGGCGAGUCCCUGGACAAUUCCUGACGCUGAGGCACGAAAGCCAGGGGAGCGAACAGG
rnacentral:rRNA from 1 species